rnacentral:rRNA from 1 species
AAUCAACGCUGGCGGCGUGCCUCAGACAUGCAAGUCGAACGCGAAAGUCCCCUUCGGGGGACAAGUAGAGUGGCGCACGGGUGAGUAACACGUAGGUAAUCCACCUUCGGAUGGGGAAUAACAACCGGAAACGGUUGCUAAUACCGCAUAAUGCAGCGGCACCUAAUGGUGACAGUUGUUAAAGCGGGGGAUCGAAAGACCUCGCGUCUGAAGAGGAGCCUGCGGCGGAUUAGCAGUUGGUAGGUAACGGCUUACCAAGGCGACGAUCCGUAGCCGGCCUGAGAGGGCGGUCGGCCACACUGACACUGACAUACGGGUCAGACUCCUACGGGAGGCAGCAGUCGGGGAAUUUGGGUCAAUGGGCGAAAGCCUGACCCAGCAACGCCGCGUGAAGGAUGAAAUCCCUCGGGAUGUAAAC